rnacentral:rRNA from 1 species
GACGAACGCUGGCGGCGUGCUUAACACAUGCAAGUCGAACGGUGAAGCGAGUGCUUGCACUCGUGGAUCAGUGGCGAAUGGGUGAGUAACACGUGAGUAACCUGCCCAUCACUCUGGGAUAAGCACUGGAAACGGUGUCUAAUACUGGAUACGACCAACCCUUGCAUGGGGUGUUGGUGGAAAGAUUUAUCGGUGAUGGAUGGACUCGCGGCCUAUCAGCCUGUUGGCGGGGUAAUGGCCCACCAAGGCGACGACGGGUAGCCGGCCUGAGAGGGUGACCGGCCACACUGGGACUGAGACACGGCCCAGACUCCUACGGGAGGCAGCAGUGGGGAAUAUUGCACAAUGGGCGAAAGCCUGAUGCAGCGACGCCGCGUGAGGGAUGACGGCCUUCGGGUUGUAAACCUCUUUCAGCAGGGAAGAAGCGAAAGUGACGGUACCUGCAGAAGAAGCACCGGCUAACUACGUG